rnacentral:rRNA from 1 species
AACGAACGCUGGCGGCAGGCCUAACACAUGCAAGUCGAGCGCCCCGCAAGGGGAGCGGCAGACGGGUGAGUAACGCGUGGGAAACUACCCUUUGGUACGGAACAACUCGGCGAAAGCUGAGCUAAUACCGUAUGUGUCCUUCGGAGAAAGAUUUAUCGCCAAAGGAUGUGCCCGCGUCGGAUUAGCUAGUUGGUGGGGUAACGGCCCACCAAGGCGACGAUCCGUAGCUGGUCUGAGAGGAUGAUCAGCCACACUGGGACUGAGACACGGCCCAGACUCCUACGGGAGGCAGCAGUGGGGAAUAUUGGACAAUGGGGGCGAACCCUGAUCCAGCCAUGCCGCGUGAGUGAUGAAGGCCUUAGGGUUGUAAAGCUCUUUCGCCCGCGAAGAUAAUGACUGUAGCGGGAGAAGAAGCCCCGGCUAACUUCGUGCCAGCAGCCGCGGUAAU